UCUUGGCCGUGCCACUCGGUUUCAGGAAACCAGUGCCGAUAAUUGCCAGCUUCAUUUUACUUUUCAUUAACUAAAAACGCCAUCCAAAGCACUCUGAAUCAACAAAUUAUCACGUCUGCCGCCUUCUUCGAAACGCGCAAGCACAGUCAGAUAGCUGCUUUGUGUGGGAACAGAACCACAGCAUCACCCGGGUUGGCAAAGACCUCUGGGACCAUCCAGCCCAGCCAUCCUCCCACCGCCAGCACCGCCACGUCCCGCACUGCCAUGUCCCCACGGCUCUUGGACACCUCCAGGCGUCCCCACCGCCUCCCUGGGCGCUUCAGUUUGAGAUAUUGAAGUUGACGGAUUCUCUUUUUGUUAUUGAUGUCAGCUCUCUUGGUAGCACGAAGCAGCGAAGACCAACGGAGGAUCCACAAAGCGUGGGAAGAAGUUAGAGGGACGACAGGACGGACAAGGACAUGACUGGGGGAUGGUAUAAGGGUGCCACUUGGUCAUGGGUGGAAAAAGAAUGAAUGAAUUUGGUUGGGUGCAGCCCUUGAUGUGCCCCAGCACGGAGCAGUGGGCUCGCAGCCAUCUCCAUGCACCUCUCUGCCCCUGCCCACAGCCCAUGGCACGGCCAGCCUCAUUUCCUCUCAUCCUGCCGGCACCGGGGCUGUUUUAGCAGGGUUUUCUUCUCUUUUUCUAAAAAUAUAGGUUGGAUUCUUUCUGGUAUGUCAUUACUGCCUCUUUUUAAAGAGUACUUCUCUUCCUGAUGGAUCUUCCUACUUUUUGUGCCUGAAGUGAAUGUUGUUUCUCAUUCCGGG
rnacentral:lncRNA from 1 species